GGUCACCUACUUUGGUGGAUAUGGUCACAAGACACUUGAUGACAUCAUGGAUGACAAAAGCUUCGUCGUGGACACGGCAUCAUUGGAGCAGAACGUUGGUUGGGAUGGAACAAUGAAGUCCACGUGUUUUGAGACAACACUAGCCAGCUGGAGGGAACCACAGACCUCUGGUCGUGCUCCUUCCCCCAGAGCUGCCCAUGCAGGUGCAGCACUCGGUCAUAAAGGGUAUGUCUACGGGGCAGAGUACUGG